rnacentral:rRNA from 1 species
UAGGGAAUAUUGCACAAUGGAGGAAACUCUGAUGCAGCCAUGCCGCGUGUGUGAAGAAGGCCUUCGGGUUGUAAAGCACUUUCGGAGGGGAGGAAGAAAAUGACGUUACCCUCAGAAGAAGCACCGGCUAACUCCGUGCCAGCAGCCGCGGUAAUACGGAGGGUGCAAGCGUUAAUCGGAAUAACUGGGCGUAAAGGGCAUGCAGGCGGUUCAUCAAGUAGGAUGUGAAAUCCCCGGGCUCAACCUGGGAACAGCAUACUAAACUGGUGGACUAGAGUAUUGCAGGGGGAGACGGAAUUCCAGGUGUAGCGGUGGAAUGCGUAGAUAUCUGGAAGAACACC